rnacentral:rRNA from 1 species
CCUACGGGGGGCUGCAGUGGGGAAUAUUGGACAAUGGGGGGAACCCUGAUCCAGCCAUGCCGCGUGUGUGAAGAAGGCCCUCGGGUUGUAAAGCACUUUCAGUGAGGAAGAACGCCUGGUGGUUAAUACCCAUCAGGAAAGACAUCACUCACAGAAGAAGCACCGGCUAACUCCGUGCCAGCAGCCGCGGUAAUACGGAGGGUGCGAGCGUUAAUCGGAAUUACUGGGCGUAAAGCGCGCGUAGGUGGCUUGAUAAGCCGGUUGUGAAAGCCCCGGGCUCAACCUGGGAACGGCAUCCGGAACUGUCAAGCUAGAGUGCAGGAGAGGAAGGUAGAAUUGCCGGCGUAGAGCUGAACUGCGUAGAGCUCGGGAGGAAUACCAGUGGCGAAGGCGGACUUCUGGACUGACAUUGACACUGAGGUGCGAAAGCGUGGGUAGCCAACAGGAUUAGAGAACAGUGUAGUC